AGACGAUGGCCAAGUUACUUACCUGUGUGCUCUCUCACUUUUCAACCAAAUCCUGCCCAGAACUGUCCUGUUGACUGAGGAAAGCUUCAUGCAGAUUAUCAGAAGUGCUGUGAGCCCCCAAAUGAAUUUUGCCCAGUGCGUAUAAUCAAGCACGGGAAAAGGAAUGAGAACGUGAGAUGUCUACAUCUGCUAACUUAAAAGGAGGAGUUCUAAACUUGUUGAUCUGCAGGCCGGAUCAAGUGGCGCCCAACGUGGGGCUCCUGGCAUGGAGAAGUUAACGAGGGAGCCGUUCGAAAGACAGCAGGCUUAAACUAAAAGUGAAAGCAAAUUGAACCGGAGACCUUGGCCGAGGAGUGAGUAAACUAAAUCAAGGAUUAAAGCUUAAAGCAACAGGACAUUAAAUUAAGUACCGAGACCUGCGCAGAUGACUACCCGACGUCCUGCCCGAGUCACGGUGAAGUGAAAAUGUGAUGAAGGCAAAGUCCACACCUACCGUGUGUGUGGAAACAUUUAAACCGAUUAACAGAACACUAAGCAUUUAUAGUUCAACCUAUUUCAGGAUUAAAGGGUAAAAGCUGCUGUGUUGAGCAGCUCUCUCUGCCAGGAUGUUUCUGCUUCACUAAGGUCUAUGCACCUAGAGACCACGGACUGGAACAUUUGAAACACUGAGUCCAAAUCCACGUUUCCUCCUCCUUUAAGCUGUUUGUUUCAGCUAAUCUGUCACAGUGAUAAAAGCUGACUAACAUGAGGAAAGUGGUGAAUAUGUGGUACAAAAACUUAUUGAAAAGAUUCACGUAAGCAGAAGAAUAUUACUUUUCUUUAA